rnacentral:tRNA from 1 species
GGUUUGGUGGUGUAGUUGGUUAUCACGUCAGUCUAACACACUGAAUGUCACCUGGGCGAAGCCA